AGCAGCCGCGGUAAUUCCAGCUCCAAUAGCGUAUAUUAAAGUUGUUGCAGUUAAAAAGCUCGUAGUUGAACCUCGGGAUCAAUGGGUCGGUCGUGCCUCGGUACGUACUGGCAUUAUUGAUUUCUCCUUUCUGACGAUCCGCGAUGUCAUUAAUUUGGUGUCGUGGGGAAUCAGGACUGUUACUUUGAAAAAUUAGAGUGUUUAAAGCAGGCUCACGCUUGAAUACAUUAGCAUGGAAUAAUGAAAUAGGACGUUUGAUUCUAUUUUGUUGGUUUCUAGGAUCGACGUAAUGAUUAAUAGGGAUAGUUGGGGGCAUUAGUAUUCAAUUGUCAGAGGUGAAAUUCUUGGAUUUAUUGAAGACUAACUACUGCGAAAGCAUUUGCCAAGGAUGUUCUCAUUAAUCAAGAACGAAAGUUAGGGGAUCGAAGACGAUCAGAUACCGUCGUAGUCUUAACCAUAAACUAUGCCGACUAGGAAAUCAGACGAUGUUAAUUUUUUUAAUGACUCGUUUGGCACCUUA
rnacentral:rRNA from 1 species